GAUUGAAUUUGACAUACUUGAGCUACUUGGCUGCAGAGAUUGGAUCCUCCCGUCCAGACAACCUGAUAGAACGACAGUGUAUAAGAACAGGGCUCUUAGGAUGCCUUUUGUCAAGUUGGGUCAUAACUCUACCCUGAGAAUUGAGAUAGAUGAUCAUGUGGUGCAAGAUAUUGAGUCCCUCAUCUUUGAUGACACACAUAACAAAUGGUAAGCGUCUCCGUGGAUGGAGCCUGAAGUAUAUUCAAAUUCAAGGCAUGCCACAAAGCAUCUCGCGUGUGGGAUGCUCCGGCGUGUGGAAAGUAGAAAAGCCAAAUAAAUGGGUACAUGUACAGCAGGCGUGAGUUCUUAAAUACUCAGAUUCCUUGUCCAUAGGAAAAUGCAUAGUUCAUACGAAUCAGAGUGCACGAUGCACGCAACUUGACGUCUCUACCGUUGUUUUCAACAUGAUGAACAUGCGAAUUUCGUGGUAUUAAUUGGGACCGUCUGAUUUCUCA